AUACGGAAGGUCCGGGCGUUAUCCGGAUUUAUUGGGUUUAAAGGGAACGCAGGCGGAGAUGCAAGCGUGACGUCAAAUUUCGGGGCUCAACCCCGUCUCGCGUCGCGAACUGCGUCCCUUGGUUGCGGGAAGGGGAGGCGGAACUCGUGGUGUAGCGGUGAAAUGCAUAGAUAUCACGAAGAACUCCGAUCGCGAAGGCAGCCUUCCGGCCCGUCAACGACGCUCAUGCUCGAAGGUGCGGGUAUCAAACAGGAUUAGAUACCCUGGUAGUCCGCACAGUAAACGAUGGACACCCGCGGUUUGGCCUGUAUGGCUGAGCCGCCAAGCGAAAGCGUUAAGUGUCCCACCUGGGGAGUACGCCGGCAACGGUGAAACUCAAAGGAAUUGACGGGG
rnacentral:rRNA from 1 species